AUGGUAGACAAAACCCACUACACCGAUGGCUCUGAAUUAACAACUUACAAGGAGAAAAAUCAUCUGGUCGGAUUUUGUACUAACAUUGAGAAUUACAAUAUCCACAAUCAAACUCCUCAACAUUAUGGUCAAUACGUGCCACUAGUGCAUGUGUUCAACUACGGUAACUACCAUGGAGAUACCCUGAUAAUCCCAGAGAAUUGUGUGCCUCAUUUGAUGUAUCAGAAAGGUAGUCUUAAUGUUUUGAACAUACAGCCAGGUCAUCCUACGAAUCUCAACUGUCCAUACGAGAUUUCUAAAAGAAGUGGAGACAUGAAAAUCAAAGGAUGGAAA
rnacentral:rRNA from 1 species